UAAGUUUUCUGUUGAAGAGUCAAAAAAAGAAAAAAAAAAAAAGAAAAAAAGAGCUUUUGAACUCUGAUAGUGUGGUAGUGUGUCCAGUUUUCUCCUAGGAGAGAUGUCUCUAGAGAUAAGGUGUACACUUUACUCUGAAAGUGUAAAAAAAAAAAAGCUCCACUAAGUGGUAAUUGUGUCACAUUCACAUUCUACUGGAUAUAAAACUAAAAAGUCAGAUAUAGGUUACAUCAAGCCAGGAACAAAUUUGAAAAGACUUUAAACUCCCCAUUCACUUGGGUCUUUCUGAAAUAGUGCUGCAUUUUAUCUCCAGAUCUGCAAACCCUCCCAGCUGAGGAUGAAUUCAAUGAGCAGAACAUGGAAUAAAAAGAAGUCUAGUCUCCAUUUGGACAUCAUUUCAACAUUUUCAGGUGGAGAAAAAAACCAACAUGAGAGCCAACCUACAUGAUGGAAGAUAAAACCAGAUUUCUACAGGUUGUCAUGUCCCAUGAGGCAAAGUUGGAUGUAAAGUUCUCAGUUUAAGUCAAGUCUGUAAAGAUUAUCCCUCAAUCAAGAACAUCAUAUGUAGUAGCAUAAUAUUGACAUCUGGAUGCUAACUGGCACAGUGGCCCAGCAGCUUUUUUGUUUUUUCAUGACAGCAUGUGCUUGAUGUGUGGGAACAGUGGUGCCUGUUCCACAAUGCAUGGUGAGCCAGGAGCCAUUGUAGCAAGGUGAGUGGGAGUAUGGACCUCCUUCACAUGGGACCCAGGGGCAGCAAAUCAGGCUCAGACACAGUUCAAGGAUCACCCAGCAUGUUUAUAGCCAAAAGAUGGCUCAAGUAAAGCCAGAAAGUCAGAGCAGGAGAUCCAGGUCAGGAAAACAGGUAUAGGUGUGAAUGCAGCUCAUCAGUAGAUAUUUCUGAGGCUUUCUAUAGCUUUUGUCAGUUAGAUUUUUCUCUCAUGUUGUUUUAAUUUCAUGAUCACGCUCUUCAACCUGUUUUGCUUCCGAAGUUAAUACAUGAAAUUGUUCA
rnacentral:lncRNA from 1 species